GAAUGACUCUCGGCAACGGAUAUCUCGGCUCUCGCAUCGAUGAAGAACGUAGCAAAAUGCGAUACUUGGUGUGAAUUGCAGAAUCCCGUGAACCAUCGAGUCUUUGAACGCAAGUUGCGCCCGAAGCCAUUAGGCCGAGGGCACGCCUGCCUGGGUGUCACAC
rnacentral:rRNA from 1 species